rnacentral:rRNA from 1 species
CGGUGAAUACGUUCCCGAACCUUAUACACACCGCCCGUCAAGCCAUGGAAGCCGGGUGUACCUAAAGUCGAUAACCGCAAGGAGUCGCCUAGGGUAAAACUGGUGACUGGGGCU